rnacentral:lncRNA from 1 species
GUACUCCUUGGUUCAUGCCAGUGUUCCUGCACCCAGCACUGAAGCUGAACAUUGACAGUGAUUUGCCCCUGCCCCAGAGUCCUCCCUGCAUUCCCCUCGAGGGCCCCCGUCUCCUGGCCCUGGUGUCCACUUUUCUCUCAGCUGCUGGGAACGUGUUAGUGUGCACUGUUCUCCUUUCCCUCACCUGCUGGCUUCAUGUUAGCAUGCACCGUUCUGCUCACUUUCUUCCCCUCACCUGCCGGGAUCAUCUUAGCAUGCACCAUUCUGCUCACUUUCUUCCUCUCACCUGCCAGGAUCAUGUAAGCGUGCACCGUUCUCCACACUUUCUUCCUCUCACCUGCCGGGAUCACGUUAGCAUGCACCAUUCUGCACACUUCCUUCCCCUCAUCUGCCAGGGUCAUCUUAGCAUGCACCAUUCUGCUCACUUCACCUUCUUCUUCUCGCCUGCUGGGAUCAUGUUAGUGUGCACUGUUCUGCACACUUUCUUCCUCUCCCCUGCUGGGAUCAUGUUAGUGUGCACCGUUCUGCACACUUUCUUCCUCUCACCUGCUGGGAUCAUCUUAGCAUGCACCAUUCUGCUCACUUUCUUCCUGUCACCUGCUGGGAUCAUGUUGGCGUGCACCAUUCUGCACACUUUCUUCCUCUCGCCUGCUGGGAUCAUGUUAGCGUGCACAGUUCUGCAUACUUGCUUCCCCUCACCUGCCAGGAACAGGUUAGUGUUCCCCAUUCUGCACACUUUCUUCCUCUCACCUGCCGGGAUCAUGUUAGCGUACACCAUUCUGCACACUUUCUUCCUCUGUGUACGUGUGUGUGGUUUUCCUUUCAGAAAUGGGUCAUACUCUGUGGACAUCUUUUUCCACUUAAAGUGAUGGCACAGCCAUUUUCCCAGUCAAGUAACAUGAAUGUACAAGUUUAGCAAACUUCCUCCUGAGAGAUGGAGAGAUCAAGGCUUCUGCUCCGUGGCAGCCAUCCGUGCACAUGCAUCACUGUGCGUGAGUUGGUCCCAGUGGCUUGCUGAGACAUGCUCUGCACAGGGGAGAUUUCUUAUACCAGCAGUGUGGGAGGCAGUGGGGCAGGUAGAGCCACAAGUGGGGAUGAGGGAGCAGAGUCUAGGGCAGGCUCCUGGAUGGACACCAGCUACACUGUCUAUUGGAUGUGGGACUUCCCUCACUGAUGAAAUGAAUAAGAGAAUCUUCCUCAUCCUGCUGUUGUUGGCGUUAAAACGGGUUAAUGCAUGAAAGCAACAAAGCCCGGCCUGCAGACAGCACAUGGUAAGUCUCCUCUUCCCAGCAUGUUCAACAGGAAGCCCUCAUUCCCUCUAGAAUGUAGGAGUCUUGCCAGCAGUGGCCUGUUUGUUCUCUGCCUGUUGCCGACCUGAUGAGAACAUAAAAUUGGUGUCUUCUGUAUAGAUUUCCUUCUUAUUGCCCCUACUGUGGCUGAACAUACCUUCCCCCGUGCUUGAAGUCUGUUCAUAUAUGUUCUGCUGUGAUAACUGCCCAUUCUUGUUCUCUAUCUAAGAAGGCAUUUAGUUUUGAAAAUAUUUUGUUGGCUUGUAAGAUAUUUGUACAUAUUAAGCACAGCAAACCUGUAACAUAUUCACUGUAAAUCAUUAUUCCUCAUGCAUCAUUUGCCAUUUAACUGUAUUUUUUUCCUUUUUGAUGUAACCUGCUAUAGUUUACAUUUUUAAAUCAGAAAUGCCUGCACAUUUUAAAACGAAGACUCUUAUGCUCUAGCCUUUGAGGUCAUGCUUGGAAAGUCCUUUCUCACACAAAGAUUAUUUACACUUUCAUCUCUUUUUCUCUGAGUACGUUUCAGUGUUUAAUUGACCAGGAAUGUAUUUCGAGGUGUGAUAUGAGACAAGGAUCUGAAAUGCUUUGCCCACUGAAUCAUCAUGCACUGACCGAAAUGCCACCUGUAUGAGUGCUAAAAUCAUUGUCGCUGGACCUGUGUCUGCACUGUUUAAUUUUAGUGUUGUUUCUCACAUCAGCUUCUGUUGUUUUCAUGGUUGUGGUUCUCAUACUUUUAAUAUCUGUUGGAGCAAAUAAAGCCUCGUUUCUCAUCUUUUC